AGUGAACGCUGGCGGUAGGCCUAACACAUGCAAGUCGAACGGCAGCACAGUAAGAGCUUGCUCUUACGGGUGGCGAGUGGCGGACGGGUGAGGAAUACAUCGGAAUCUACUUUUUCGUGGGGGAUAACGUAGGUAAACUUACGCUAAUACCGCAUACGACCUACGGGUGAAAGCAGGGGAUCUUCGGACCUUGCGCGAUUGAAUGAGCCGAUGUCGGAUUAGCUAGUUGGCGGGGUAAAGGCCCACCAAGGCGACGAUCCGUAGCUGGUCUGAGAGGAUGAUCAGCCACACUGGAACUGAGACACGGUCCAGACUCCUAAGGGAGGCAGCAGUGGGGAAUAUUGGACAAUGGGCGCAAGCCUGAUCCAGCCAUACCGCGUGGGUGACGAAGGCCUUCGGGUUGUAAAGCCCUUUUGUUGGGAAAGAAAAGCAGCAGGUUAAUACCACGCUGUUCUGACGGUAACCAAAGAAUAAGCACCGGCUAACUUCGUG
rnacentral:rRNA from 1 species